UACGUAGGGUGCAAGCGUUGUCCGGAAUUAUUGGAGCGUAAAGAGCUCGUAGGCGGUUCGUCACGUCGGCUGUGAAAUCCCGAGGCUCAACCUCGGGUCUGCAGUCGAUACGGGCGGACUGGAGUACUGCAGGGGAGACUGGAAUUCCUGGUGUAGCGGUGAAAUGCGCAGAUAUCAGGAGGAACACCGGUGGCGAAGGCGGUCUGCUGGGGUGAGGCUGACACUGAUGCGCGACAGCGUGGGGAGCAAACAGG
rnacentral:rRNA from 1 species